rnacentral:rRNA from 1 species
AUUGAUUUUAUGCUUGCAUAAAUGAUUUUUGGAUUCGGAGCGAGUGACGAACUGGUGAGUAACACGUGGGUAACCUGCCCUGAAGCGGGGGAUAACAUUUGGAAACAAGUGCUAAUACCGCAUAAUUAGUUGGAACCGCAUGGUUCCAACUUGAAAGAUGGCUCUGCUAUCACUUUGGGAUGGACCCGCGCCGUAUUAGUUAGUUGGUGAGAUAAAAGCCCACCAAGACGAUGAUACGUAGCCGACCUGAGAGGGUAAUCGGCCACAUUGGGACUGAGACACGGCCCAGACUCCUACGGGAGGCAGCAGUAGGGAAUCUUCCACAAUGGACGAAAGUCUGAUGGAGCAACGCCGCGUGAGUGAUGAAGGUUUUCGGAUCGUAAAACUCUGUUGUUAAAGAAGAACAAGUGUUAGAGUAACUGUUAACACUUUGACGGUAUUUAACCAGAAAGCCACGGCUAACUACGUGCCAGCAGCCGCGGUAAUACGUAGGUGGCAAGCGUUGUCCGGAUUUAUUGGGCGUAAAGCGAGCGCAGGCGGUUUUGUAAGUCUGCUGUGAAAGCCCUCAGCUCAACUGAGGAAGUGCAGUGGAAACUACAAAACUUGAGUACAGAAGAGGAAAGUGGAACUCCAUGUGUAGCGGUGAAAUGCGUAGAUAUAUGGAAGAACACCAGUGGCGAAGGCGGCUUUCUGGUCUGUUACUGACGCUGAGGCUCGAAAGCAUGGGUAGCGAACAGGAUUAGAUACCCUGGUAGUCCAUGCCGUAAACGAUGAACACUAGGUGUUGGAGGGUUUCCGCCCUUCAGUGCCGCAGCUAACGCAUUAAGUAUUCCGCCUGGGGAGUACGACCGCAAGGUUGAAACUCAAAGGAAUUGACGGGGGCCCGCACAAGUGGUGGAGCAUGUGGUUUAAUUCGAUGCUACGCGAAGAACCUUACCAGCUCUUGACAUCUUCUGCCAACCCAAGAGAUUGGGCGUUCCCUUCGGGGACAGAAUGACAGGUGGUGCAUGGUUGUCGUCAGCUCGUGUCGUGAGAUGUUGGGUUAAGUCCCGCAACGAGCGCAACCCUUAUUAUUAGUUGCCAGCAUUUAGUUGGGCACUCUAGUGAGACUGCCGGUGAUAAA